GGACAUGUAGCUCAAUGGUAGAGCACCUGUCUGGAAUACACAAGGCUUUGGGUUAAUUCCAAGUACCACUA
rnacentral:tRNA from 1 species